rnacentral:rRNA from 1 species
AGUGAACGCUGGCGGUAGGCCUAACACAUGCAAGUCGAACGGCAGCACAGUAAGAGCUUGCUCUUACGGGUGGCGAGUGGCGGACGGGUGAGGAAUACAUCGGAAUCUACUUUUUCGUGGGGGAUAACGUAGGGAAACUUACGCUAAUACCGCAUACGACCUACGGGUGAAAGCAGGGGAUCUUCGGACCUUGCGCGAUUGAAUGAGCCGAUGUCGGAUUAGCUAGUUGGCGGGGUAAAGGCCCACCAAGGCGACGAUCCGUAGCUGGUCUGAGAGGAUGAUCAGCCACACUGGAACUGAGUCACGGUCCAGACUCCUACGGGAGGCAGCAGUGGGGAAUAUUGGACAAUGGGCGCAAGCCUGAUCCAGCCAUACCGCGUGGGUGAAGAAGGCCUUCGGGUUGUAAAGCCCUUUUGUUGGGAAAGAAAAGCAGCAGGGUAAUACCCCGCUGUUCUGACGGUACCCAAAGAAUAAGCACCGGCUAACUUCGUG